rnacentral:rRNA from 1 species
UGGGGAAUUUUGGACAAUGGGCGAAAGCCUGAUCCAGCAAUGCCGCGUGUGUGAAGAAGGCCUUCGGGUUGUAAAGCACUUUUGUCCGGAAAGAAAUCCUUGGCUCUAAUACAGUCGGGGGAUGACGGUACCGGAAGAAUAAGCACCGGCUAACUACGUGCCAGCAGCCGCGGUAAUACGUAGGGUGCAAGCGUUAAUCGGAAUUACUGGGCGUAAAGCGUGCGCAGGCGGUUUGCUAAGACCGAUGUGAAAUCCCCGGGCUCAACCUGGGAACUGCAUUGGUGACUGGCAGGCUAGAGUAUGGCAGAGGGGGGUAGAAUUCCACGUGUAGCAGUGAAAUGCGUAGAGAUGUGGAGGAAUACCGAUGGCGAAGGCAGCCCCCUGGGCCAAUACUGACGCUCAUGCACGAAAGCGUGGGGAGCAAACAGGAUUAGAUACCCUGGUAGUCCACGCCCUAAACGAUGUCAACUAGUUGUUGGGGAUUCAUUCCUUAGUAACGUAGCUAACGCGUGAGGUUGACCGCCUGGGGAGUACGGUCGCAAGAUUAAAACUCAAAUGAAUUGACGGGGUCAUAGCUGUUCCU